rnacentral:tRNA from 1 species
CGGACGCUGGCCAGGUGGGUGGGCCAGGCCUCCUCGAGGCGGGCCAGACCCUGCUCGGUCAGUACGGCGUUCCAGCCGCGGGCGUCCGA